UACGUAGGGUGCGAGCGUUAAUCGGAAUUACUGGGCGUAAAGCGUGCGCAGGCGGUGAUGCAAGACAGAUGUGAAAUCCCCGGGCUCAACCUGGGAACUGCAUUUGUGACUGCAUGGCUGGAGUGCGGCAGAGGGGGAUGGAAUUCCGCGUGUAGCAGUGAAAUGCGUAGAUAUGCGGAGGAACACCGAUGGCGAAGGCAAUCCCCUGGGCCUGCACUGACGCUCAUGCACGAAAGCGUGGGGAGCAAACAGG
rnacentral:rRNA from 1 species